rnacentral:rRNA from 1 species
CAGGCCUAACACAUGCAAGUCGAACGGUGGUAGUAAUACUACAGUGGCAAACGGGUGCGUAACGCGUAAGCAACCUGCCUCAAACAGGGGGAUAGCCCGGCGAAAGCGGGGGUAAACCCGCAUGGUCCUUUUUUCUCACCUGGAGAAGAUUGGUAAACAGCGAUGGGUUUGAGAGGGGCUUGCGUCUGAUUAGCUAGUUGGCGGGGUAAGGGCCCACCAAGGCGAUGAUCAGUAGGGGUUCUGAGAGGAUUGGCCCCCACAUGGGUACUGAGAUACGGACCCAACUCCUACGGGAGGCAGCAGUAGGGAAUAUUGGGCAAUGGGCGCAAGCCUGACCCAGCCAUGCCGCGUGCCGGAUGAAGGCGCUCAGCGUUGUAAACGGCUUUUAGCUGGGAAGAACGGCAGGCCUGCGGGCUUGUGUGACGGUACCAGCGGAAUAAGCACCGGCUAACUCCGUGCCAGCAGCCGCGGUAAU